GACGAACGCUGGCGGCGUGCUUAGCACAUGCAAGUCGAACGGAAAGGCCUUUUCGGAGGUACUCGAGUGGCGAACGGGUGAGUAACACGUGGGUGAUCUGCCCUGCACUCUGGGAUAAGCCUGGGAAACUGGGUCUAAUACCGGAUAGGACCGCACUUUAGUGUGUGUGGUGGAAAGUUUUUUCGGUGUAGGAUGAGCCCGCGGCCUAUCAGCUUGUUGGUGGGGUAAUGGCCUACCAAGGCGGCGACGGGUAGCCGGACUGAGAGGUUGGUCGGCCACAUUGGGACUGAGGUACGGCCCAGACUCCUACGGGAGGCAGCAGUGGGGAAUAUUGCACAAUGGGCGCAAGCCUGAUGCAGCGACGCCGCGUGGGGGAUGACGGCCUUCGGGUUGUAAACUCCUUUCGCCAGGGACGAAGCGUUUUGUGACGGUACCUGGAGAAGAAGCACCGGCUAACUACGUG
rnacentral:rRNA from 1 species